CUUAGGGUCUUUACCUAGGUAGGCUAUCACGGGUAACGGGCGGUUACCGUCGGACUGCCGGAGAAGGCGCCUGAGAGAUAGCGACUAUAUCCACGGGUAGCAGCAGGCGCGAAACUUUCCCACUCGAGACUUUCGGAGGAGGUAAUGACCAGUUCCAUUGGUGCCUUUCGGUACUGUGGAUAGGGGUACGGUUUUCCACCGUACCGAAACCUAGCAGAGGGCCAGUCUGGUGCCAGCAGCUGCGGUAAUUCCAGCUCUGCGAGUUUGCUCCCAUAUUGUUGCAGUUAAAACGCCCGUAGUCUGAAUUGGCCAGCAAUGGUCGUACGUAUUUUUACGUUCACUGUGAACAAAUCAGGACGCUUAGAGUAUGGCUACAUGAAUGACUCAGCGCAGUAUGAAGUCUUUGUUUUCUUCCGAAAACAAGCUCAAUGAGAGCCAUCGGGGGUAGAUCUAUCUCAUGACGAGUGGUGGAAUACUUUGACUCAUGAGAGAGAAGCUGAGGCGAAGGCGUCUACCUAGAGGGUUUCUGUCG
rnacentral:rRNA from 1 species